rnacentral:rRNA from 1 species
UACGGGGGGGGCAAGCGUUGUUCGGAAUUACUGGGCGUAAAGGGCUCGUAGGCGGCCAACUAAGUCAUACGUGAAAUCCCUCGGCUUAACCGGGGAACUGCGUCUGAUACUGGGUGGCUUGAAUCCGGGAGAGGGAUGCGGAAUUCCAGGUGUAGCGGUGAAAUGCGUAGAUAUCUGGAGGAACACCGGUGGCGAAGGCGGCAUCCUGGACCGGCAUUGACGCUGAGGCGCGAAAGCCAGGGGAGCAAACGGG